UGUCUAGCCUUACCCGGGAUCGACGCCGCUGCAAUCGAUUUAGAGGGUCUAGUGAAGACCUACUAAAUCGACCACAGAGCGCUCUCCAGUCGACUCCAGUACUCCAGCUCCCCGAGAAGAAUAAGCAAAAGUGCCUGGGAAGUGUUUGCAGAGGAAGAGGGCCGCAGGGAGAGAGUCUGCAGCAACUCUGUGUGAGCAGAGAGAAGAGGAGGAGAAAACCCAAGAGGGAGAAUAAACACUGUGGUUCUAGCCCUGGAAGAAGGGUCACUCCUAGAAGAGUUGUGGUGAAAGAAAACCUGAGGGCAAAAUGUAACAUCUUCCGGUUUCUUAGGCUCUGGUUCAGUACCCAGCGCACUAGAUGCUGCUUCCCUGGAAGCCUGAGGCACAGCUGCAGUGUUCCUUACCUGCACCAUUGGUUUCACCAUUUUGGUAUCCAGGUCACUGAGAUUUAUUACUCAGGGAUUUAUUAUGCUGUGUGUAAUUCAACAAAAUCCAAACACUGUGUGCAUUCAGACAUGCAGUGUACAUGUGCAAUGCAAUGACUCUUUGCCCCAGCAACAGUAGCUGUCAAAUGUGGGCUUGCCAGAAAACAUAUCUGACAAUUAUGGCUUCCCCAGAAGCUCUUCAUAGCAAGUAUAGGUGUCCCAGAAACUCAAUUUGACGGCGUUAUCUUCAAAGAAACUCAAUUUGCUGAACAACUGUGAUGAUACAUGAGGCAAGGGUUAUCAGACAUCUCACAGUUCCCUGAGAUCCUUUUGGCACAUUUUUGAAAAAACAAAAAACAUAGUUUUUAUCAUCAUCAUUUCUAUCUGAUGUUAGAAUACGUACAGUAAUUAAUUUGGGAUCUAACUGACACCAAUACCUUUUGAGUGACAUUUUUGCUACAUUAAAAGUGCAACAGCUAUACAGACAAAACCAGUACUGACUGGUUGUCCUCGUUAUAGCUUGAGAAUACUUAGAAGAGACAGUGGUUUGACUAUUAUGUUUUAUUUAAAUAUUUUUGUGUG